UUCCCGCCGGGUCACGCCGAUCCCGCCGCGAUGUCGGGCCGCGGGCUGGAACCCGACAGCGGAGCAGAGUCCCUUUCUUCAGAUGAAAAAGAGGUGACAGCCAGCAGCACAGGGGAAG